GAUCCGCGUCCUGCGCGGAGUCGCUGACCGUGAUGUAAACACGGAGGCAAAAGGCAUUGCUCAAUUCCGUAUUUAAUCAGUCUCCCACCAAACACCUUGUCAGUAUUUGCUGGUGCAAGAUAUUUCCUCCUAAGGCUGCUGUGAUGUGCUGAAACAAUAAACAUGGUGAUGACUCUGGGACUUCCAACGCAGAACAAAAAGCAAGAGCCAGAGGAUACAGGAAAUGUCACCCAUUACUUCAUCCUGCAGGGCAGCAAACUGCACACUUUGUUUUCUUAUCAUGCCAACCGCAGAGACCAUUUAGAACCAUUUUUCCCAAUUGAACAAGGCCAAGGGAUUGAGCAGAGGGGAGAUGUGAAAGAGUAACCCACAGUUUGAGGUCCCAUGUUGACACAAGCACUCAGCAUACACCUCACCCUGCUAAGGUACAGGGAUUGUUCAGUCUGGUAGUAAAGAAACUGCAGCAAAAUGUAUUAACAGAAAAUCCCCUUUUGGUUUAAAAAGUAUCAGCAUCUACGGUCUCCUCUUAGUUUAAAACAUGCAGAUUAUUUCUUCUAAAUAAAAAAAACUGUCACAAAUAUGUGUUUUCUUUGACCCCAGCAGUCAAAAAUGUAAUAUUUCUAAACAGAAAAUCUGAAUUCUUGAUUUUAUUUCAAAACUAUGUGACAGAUUAUUAAGCAUCUCCGCCCCAGGGAGUGAUGAAAUCACAUGAUGAUAACUUUAAAUGCACAGCUGAACUUGAACUGUUUUUUAAAUCACUUUAUAAAUAUACAUACCUAUGACAAAAACAUAAAUAAAUUCACAGUAAAUAUUAAUUUUGUGAUAUAGGCAGGAAAUACUAUAUAUCACAAUGAAUUAUCAGAAUGAAUUAUAAAAUCGCAUGGACUGAAAAGCCUCCUCACAGUGACUGUUUUUCUGCUUUUUGAUGCACAGCCAACCACAUCUACUUCAGUGACAGCACAAAAUGGCUGCAGCCACCUCAGCCAUAGAAAAAGCAAGAACUCACACAGUGCAAACAAUAGUAACAAGUCUGCAACAUUCUGCAUCUCCAUCUUAAACGUUUAAAAACAAAUAACAACUCACCCACACAUUCAGCUUCUGUCGGAGAGGCACUUUUUAAGGAAACUGGUGAAUAAGGGGGAAGCAAUUUCACUGCGAGGCUUGGGGAAUUCCCGUAACCCAGUAAAAUGGCCUGACACUGCAGGCUCAGCCUGAACAGAACCUGGUGUGUGUCCAACUGUUCGGCCUCCCUUUUGACUGAGUAAAGCAACACACAAGCAAACAAGUAUGAACAUUUAAAUCCCUUUUAUUGGAACUUUAUUGCCGCUGCUAUCUUGGAUGCCCGUGGAGAAACCUGAAAAAUGCAGAACCUCCUGGAACGUAUGACACAUUUUCUUCUGAGAACAGCGUUCGGCAUUCUAAGCUGUUCGUUUUUCAGUAAUAAAUGUUUAUGUGCACGAUAUGGCAUGCAAGCAUGCAGUAAAGGGUAUGGCCCCUUUUGCGUGAUCGUAUCGUGAUGCCAUCACAGCUAUCAAAGCUGCAGAUAAAAAGUAAACAGCUAUGCACCACCAAUAGCUUUCCCUGAGGACAUAAGGGCUUUUAUAAUAUUAAACUACAAUCUGUCUAAUUCAUGCAACACAUGCAGUGCCAAAAGGAAAAAAAACAAAAAACUUCCCCUUCAAUCAAAAGGGAAAUUCAACAACAAUGCAGAUAUUGAUAUAUUGAUAGUGCUAUUGAAGUUAUCUUAUAAUCUCUUGUAAUUAUCAUCAAAUGGAACAAUUUUAUUUUGGGUGUGCCAUUAAAACCAAAGUGUCUGACUUGCUCUUUAUUUGUUGCCUUGGAUUUUGGCGUACUGCAGGGGAUUUCCUCGCCACAUACGUCUUUUUUUUCUGCUUUCCUCUUUUAACUGAAAAUGGCUUGACAACAGCUGCGCUCACACA